rnacentral:rRNA from 1 species
CCAAUGGCGGCGUGCUAUACAUGCAAGUCGAGCGGACAGAUGGGAGCUUGCUCCCUGAUGUUAGCGGCGGACGGGUGAGUAACACGUGGGUAACCUGCCUGUAAGACUGGGAUAACUCCGGGAAACCGGGGCUAAUACCGGAUGGUUGUUUGAACCGCAUGGUUCAAACAUAAAAGGUGGCUUCGGCUACCACUUACAGAUGGACCCGCGGCGCAUUAGCUAGUUGGUGAGGUAACGGCUCACCAAGGCAACGAUGCGUAGCCGACCUGAGAGGGUGAUCGGCCACACUGGGACUGAGACACGGCCCAGACUCCUACGGGAGGCAGCAGUAGGGAAUCUUCCGCAAUGGACGAAAGUCUGACGGAGCAACGCCGCGUGAGUGAUGAAGGUUUUCGGAUCGUAAAGCUCUGUUGUUAGGGAAGAACAAGUACCGUUCGAAUAGGGCGGUACCUUGACGGUACCUAACCAGAAAGCCACGGCUAACUACGUGCCAGCAGCCGCGGUAAUACGUAGGUGGCAAGCGUUGUCCGGAAUUAUUGGGCGUAAAGGGCUCGCAGGCGGUUUCUUAAGUCUGAUGUGAAAGCCCCCGGCUCAACCGGGGAGGGUCAUUGGAAACUGGGGAACUUGAGUGCAGAAGAGGAGAGUGGAAUUCCACGUGUAGCGGUGAAAUGCGUAGAGAUGUGGAGGAACACCAGUGGCGAAGGCGACUCUCUGGUCUGUAACUGACGCUGAGGAGCGAAAGCGUGGGGAGCGAACAGGAUUAGAUACCCUGGUAGUCCACGCCGUAAACGAUGAGUGCU